GACAGUCUAGAACCUUCAAUCGCUCUUGCCAAAAUUAAACCCCAAAUCUUCCCAUAUAGUCCAUGCUUCCAAAUAAUUUAGCCGACUGUUAAAUAUUCUUGUUCUUACAGCAGAUGAAUAAGCUCCUGGUGACCGAUUUUGAAAAAGAAACCCUAAUUCCUUAAUGUCGAAAUUAGCAAUUAUUCACGACAUUAAAGGUCUGAUCUAACUACAUCUACAAAGAGUAGACGAAUGUAAGGCUAGAAAGCUACAAAUCAGGCAACCAAGCCCUGCAUGCAAUUGUGGGAGAAGACCUAGAUAGCUACGGGAAAUUUUUACCAAGAAGUAAACUUAAUAUUGGCUACACAAUCCAGUACUGCAUAUGUUCGCACCAAGUGAAGGGGAAUUGCUUUGGUUGUAAAAUCUGGGUUGAGUUGAGAUGCAAGAUCAAAUUGAUCAGCCAUUCUAAAGGCUUCAGCGUGUGUACUGAGAGAGAUUUGUGUAUCAAGGGUGUGUGUGAGUGAAGCCAUUUAAUUGUAUAUGUAUAUAUAUAUACCCAAAAAGUAGAAUAGAUACAACAAAAACAAUCAUAACAGCAUAGCUACUGCCUUGAAGCUAAUCGAUUCCCAAGAAGCAAAUGAAAGAAAUUAAACUAAUAUAAAUACAUAUAAAAACUAAUACACCAAUAGGAUUAGACUUCUAAUUAAAAACAAAAGCAUUACCUCUGCCACACGUUUCAUAAUACCAAUCACUUUGGAAACCCAAAUCUCUUAACCCAUUUACGGACUUUGGAAAUCCAAAUCUCUUAACCCAUUUUACAGACAUUGUUGUAACUUCUUCCACAAAAAAAAAAAAAA